rnacentral:rRNA from 1 species
AGUGAACGCUGGCGGUAGGCCUAACGCAUGCAAGUCGAACGGCAGCACAGUAAGAGCUUGCUCUUACGGGUGGCGAGUGGCGGACGGGUGAGGAAUACCUCGGAAUCUACUUUUUCGUGGGGGCUAACGUAGGGGAACUUACGCUAAUACCGCAUACGACCUACGGGUGGAAGCAGGGGAUCUUCGGCCCUUGCGCGAUUGAAUGAGCCGAUGUCGGAUUAGCUAGUUGGCGGGGUACAGGCCCACCAAGGCGACGAUCCGUAGCUGGUCUGAGAGGAUGAUCAGCCACACUGGAACUGAGACACGGUCCAGACUCCUACGGGAGGCAGCAGUGGGGAAUAUUGGACAAUGGGCGCAAGCCUGAUCCAGCCAUACCGCGUGGGUGAAGAAGGCCUUCGGGUUGUAAAGCCCUUUUGUUGGGAAAGAAAAGCAGCAGGUUAAUACCCCGCUGUUCUGACGGUACCCAAAGAAUAAGCACCGGCUAACUUCGUG